rnacentral:rRNA from 1 species
CACGUAGGCACCAAGCGUUGUCCGGAUUUAUUGGGCGUAAAGAGCUCGUAGGCGGUUCGGUAAGUCGGGGGUGAAAACUUUGGGCUCAACCCAAAGCCUGCACUCGAUACUGCUGUGACUUGAGUCCGGUAGGGGAGUGGGGAAUUCCUGGUGUAGCGGUGGAAUGCGCAGAUAUCAGGAGGAACACCGGUGGCGAAGGCGCCACUCUGGGCCGGUACUGACGCUGAGGAGCGAAAGCGUGGGGAGCGAACAGG